GGAUGUGAGGGUGAUCUGCCUACGACAUCUGUCACCCCACUGAUCGCCAGGGCUGAUUCCACUGCUAUGGCUGGCUAAGCCGGUGUCCAUUUCCUCCCUCACUGCUCCAUGUCCAUCCCUCCUCAAGCUGUGGAAGAGGACAGCUUCCCACCAGAAGAGAGAACCAUCUUUGGUCAAGGGUAUGAGUAGCUGCGCUCCCCUGCUAGAACCUCCAAACAAGCUCUCAAUGUAGGAGAUGUAGGUGUUGCAUGUGGCAGUUUGCCUUUCUUA
rfam:Myotis davidii contig45480, whole genome shotgun sequence.